AACGAACGCUGGCGGCGUGGCUAAGGCAUGCAAGUCGAACGGAUCUAUCCAACGGGUAACUGAAGGGUAGAUUAGUGGCGAACGGGUGAGGAAUACAUGGACAACGUACCCUGGACUCGGGGAUAGCGGCGGGCCGCAAGGCCCUUUAGCGAAAGUGCCGGUAAUACCCGAUGAUCCCGCGUGACCGCAUGGUCGUGCGGGCAAAGCUCCGACGGUCUAGGAUCGGUUCAUGGCCAUCAGCUAGU
rnacentral:rRNA from 1 species